AACGAACGCUGGCGGCAUGCCUAACACAUGCAAGUCGAACGAGACCUUCGGGUCUAGUGGCGCACGGGUGCGUAACGCGUGGGAACCUGCCCUUAGGUUCGGGAUAACUCCCCGAAAGGGGUGCUAAUACCGGAUAAUGUCUUCGGACCAAAGAUUUAUCGCCUUUGGAUGGGCCCGCGUUGGAUUAGCUAGUUGGUAGGGUAAAAGCCUACCAAGGCGACGAUCCAUAGCUGGUCUGAGAGGAUGAUCAGCCACACUGGGACUGAGACACGGCCCAGACUCCUACGGGAGGCAGCAGUGGGGAAUAUUGGACAAGGGGCGAAAGCCUGAUCCAGCAAUGCCGCGUGAGUGAUGAAGGCCUUAGGGUUGUAAAGCUCUUUUACCCGGGAUGAUAAUGACAGUACCGGGAGAAUAAGCGCCGGCUAACUCCGUG
rnacentral:rRNA from 1 species